AAGUGGAUAGUGAAACCUGGUGGCUCAACCAUUCAGACUAUUAUCCAAACUGCAAAGCUCGAGAAUGGUAGAGGUAGUUGGAAUUUCGUGUGUAGGAGUGAAAUCCGUAGAUAUACGAAGGAACACCAAUGGCGUAGGCAGACUACUGGACCAUUUUCUGACGCUGAGGCACGAAAGCGUGGGGAGCGAACCGGAUUAGAUACCCGGGUAGUCCCCGCCGUAAACGAUGGAUACUA
rnacentral:rRNA from 1 species